rnacentral:tRNA from 1 species
AGUGUGGCUCAGUUUGGUAGAGCGCUGCGUUCGGGACGCAGAGGUCGCAGGUUCAAAUCCUGUCAC